AAAAAAAAUUAGGCAUGACUGCUUAUAUUUCUCAAUGAUUCCGUCAGAGGAAAAAACUUCCCAUAACCCUCCAUCUUCUUUGCUUCGAUCUCUUCAAUAACCAAUGUCUAUCACCGCCACCAACCUAGAAAACUCCUCCAUCUUUUUCUCUUCGCUAGGGUAUUGUCACCGGCGAACUGCAAUUUCGUUGCUGUAAUGGUUUUGAUUUAGUUGCUUUGUUUUUGGAGUUAGAGAAAAACCUAACCAUUGUCUCCACCGUCACGUCCCCGAAAAUUGUGCUUUUCUUCUUGAGGUUUCUCUCUUAUUUUUUUCUUUGAAUCAGUAUUAAUUAAUUGGUAUGUCGUGUGUGUUAAUUACGAUUGCUCUUCUUCUCUGGGUAUAGUAUGUAUUUUUCAUCCAUUUUUAUAUUUUGUUUUGUGUAAUUGGUUGAUUUUAAGGUUGUGCUAUAAAUUCAAUUGAAAUUGAUAGUUUAACAAUGAAAAUUAAAAUUAUUGAAAUUUAGGAUUUGAACUUUGAUUUAUAAUUUGGGAAACAAAAUCGUGAAAAGAAGAAGGGAGAAUGGCCUGAACUGAGAAGUUAAUUGGGGUUUCAUAAGUGUUUGAUUGGUAGUUCUAAUUGUAUAACAUCUAAUAACUAAGAGAAGUCACAUAUUCAAUCUGUUUGUUGAAUUAUAGUUCGAAUUGAGUUUAUAAUUAAGAGAAGUCUCAUGUUCAAUUUGUUUGUUCUCUCGCAAUUUUAUUGCCCCCACCAAUCGAUUUCUUUUAGGUAAUUUGGCAACCCAACCCAAUAAUUUUAGAUUACAUGAAUUAAGUUUUUUAUUAUUUUGCUGCAUUCUGUAGCAUUUUGAGCAUCUGGUUGUUGCCUCUCUGCACGCAUAAACGAAGUUUCUUUUGUGUUACUUGUAGAAAUCAAGAUUGAUAAAGUGACAACUUUAGCUUGUAGGUCAGUGAAAUGUCAUGUAUUGUUAAUUUUUAGCUCAAAUAUUAGUCUUUAGCUUUCUUAAUGUUAGGGUAAUUGUGAUUUUUAAUGUUCUUACAAGUGACGUUUAUGCAAAGUAAUAUGGAGUUGUAUUCCGGUGUAAAAUUGGAAAACAACAAAGUAACAAAGUAUGUGUAACCGGCAAUUAAGAAUCACAAUUAAGAAGCAUGGGAUCAAGAGGAGGGUUCAGUUAUUUUGUUUUCAAGCAAAUGUAUGAGAAUGGACAAUUUCCAAAACUUCCAAAGCUAGGGAAGAGAAUCCUCAAGAGCUUGUAACUUUCCUGAAGGAUCACCUAGAUCUCCUGUGGUUUCAUGAAUUUUUUCUUCAUCAAUAUUCUGGUGCUUCAAAAAAAAUUCAAGGUUUGGCACUUACUGGAGAUGAAAGAUUAUUUGCAGCUGCUGGAAAGGUGACAUAACUAAAUUCUGGAACAAAUUAAAAGACAUUUCCCGGAAGGAAGCUAUCAAUUCAAAGAUAGCUGUUAUUGCAGGUUUGCCCUUGUGUCCUUUUUACAACACUUUGCUCUUGUUUUUAGUAAUUUUUAAAUGCAAAACUCCUAGUUUUUUAUAUACAUGAAUACUUGUUAAACUGAUGCAAUGUGUUGCACGCGGUAUCUGUGAUUUUGAAUGUGUUCAAUGGUUGUGCCUGCAUAACUGUAUCUAAGUAUGAUUGUAUGGAGGGGAAAUGUACCAGGAGGAGGGGGGAAGAAGAAGGGAUGUAACCCUUCAACUAUUAAGUUUAUAGUCUUUGUAGAAUCCCCUGUUCCGAGUGAUAAGGUUUCUGUUGUGUUUUCGCAUGGCCUUUAACUGAGUACAAGCUUGAAACAUGCUACCACGAAAAGUUGUAUCAUGCUUAAAAAUUUCAUGUGGCAUUAUUUUAAUUCAAUAAACAGACGUUUUCAUUUUAAUUGAAGAAUUUGCACCAGAAUUUUGAGUGGUUUGUCAAACAUGGCGUUUAAUCAUCUCAUCAACUUUUAGUUUUAUUAUAUUCCUGCUGGAUUUGGUCUUUUAAUAAAGAGCCUUUCUUAAUGUUUCAAGUACGGAUAGAUAAUUGGACUACCACUUACUGUUUUAUCCCCAUUCACGUUGAUUCAGGGCUUUGAAUUCUUGUUUCGAGGUAUCAACAAUAUCAAGCCCAUUGAUUUUCCUUUUUGGUUAAUUUGUUAUUUAGGUUUUUGGUUUUGCCACGAAAACUUUCAGCAUAUUGUUCGGUCUACUUCUUGAGGCACAAGCUUAGAGGUUUCAGGUUUAUAACUUCUAGAAUUGGUCCUUGUUCAUUGACCUAGCGGAGACGAUUAAUCUUCUAUCCUCUACUAAAGUCCAACCUUCCCUUGUAGUGGGCCUGCAGUUGCCGACGACCACUUCCUUUCUGUAACCACAACUCUUGAUCAUUGCCAUCACUUCUAUGAGUUAUGCUGCUAAACUUGUUACUACCACUUUGCUUAAAAAAUUGCCUCAAGGCCAUAACAUGAGCGACAGCAUGCCUACUACAACACAGUUUGGCUAUUAAAGUAAUUGGUUAGGAAAGAGGAUUUGUGAAUGAAUUGGGGUGUAGUAAACUUCCUACAUUAUUUGCGCCCCAAAUUCUGUUUUAGCAAUCUUACUAAUUAAUGUAGUAACUUAUCUUUUAAUUUAGAACUGUAGUUACGUUCUUCUGACCUGUAGAAAUCUCUUUUUUGUUGCAUAAGUAUAGGAAUAAUGAGCCUAAAAGUAUAUUUGGUGAAGUUUAUAAGACGCAUCAUGUUGUAUAGUAAGCUAACUUCCUUUUUUUGCACUGGUUUAUUUUCUGCAACUUUGUUUAGCAAACAACAAUUUGUUAAUGCUAGGAUGUUAAUUGACCUUGUAACUAAUGCAGAACCCUAGAUAAAAAAUAUCAAAUUUAGAGAUGGAGGUAGCUGCCACAAGGGCUACACAAGAAUAUAUAAUAGAUGGAUCCCCUGAUUCAUAAUCUAGAUUCAUAAGGAGAGUAAAGUUAUCUGUGUUAAACAACAAACAUUGGGAACUCUGUUUUGUUGAUUUAUUUCUGGCAUUAUCAUUUGCUUUCAAGUUUACUGGAAUCCUUGUAUGUUGGAUUCUUGUCUUAUUUAGAUGGCUCUCCAUUUUUAUUUUACCUACAACUUGGUACAUUAGUCAAAUAUGAUACUUCCUGUAGUUUUACUAUUUCAUUCCUGCAAUGUUUUGUUCUUGUAUUUAGCUUAAUUUUUGUUGAACAUGUUUUUAUAUUCAAGUCUGUUAAAAUUUUAAUUCACCCAUUGUGUGUUUCCAUAAAAUUUUGACUUCGACUUGGGUAACUAUGAGCGGUUCCUUGAUGUGACUCUGUCAACUGUCAAGAGACAACAACUAGGAGGAUAGAUCAGUCUGUUCUUUAAAGGAAGAGGAGAGGAGAUUGCCUUGGAAAAGCUAUGCAGUACUAUAGUGGAGUGCCUAUUACUUAUUCUCAAGCGAAGAUUGGCGAGUUGAAGGAGUAGGCGGUUACAUAUGUGUUCAAGAAUAAAUAGUGGGUGAGGAAUCUGAAGGUGGUAUGGAUUAUGGAGAUACCGAAAUAUGCUUAUCAUUUUAAUAUUAAAAUUUUGUACUUUGUAUUUCUUUUUCGAUAAGUUUAUAGGAUGAAACAUUAAUCAUCCUUGAAAUGUUAACAUUUUUUGUAAUAUUUUUACGAUUAAUGAAAGAUUUGAAUGAUUUUGGUAUUAAAAUAAGAA